rnacentral:rRNA from 1 species
UACAGAGGUGGCAAGCGUUGUUCGGAAUUACUGGGCGUAAAGGGCGCGUAGGCGGCCUUCUAAGUCAGACGUGAAAUCCCCCGGCUUAACCUGGGAACUGCGUCCGAUACUGGCAGGCUUGAAUCCGGGAGAGGGAUGCGGAAUUCCAGGUGUAGCGGUGAAAUGCGUAGAUAUCUGGAGGAACACCGGUGGCGAAGGCGGCAUCCUGGACCGGUAUUGACGCUGAGGCGCGAAAGCCAGGGGAGCAAACGGG